rnacentral:lncRNA from 1 species
CUUAAAAGUAAUUAAUUGAUAGCAUUGACAUUCACCAUUUCGUUUCAGGUUUUCCAGUGUGGGCUAGGGAAGCUCUCUAGAAGUUCUUUGGAGGUUUGCAUCCCACUCUCUUUGCUGUGUGAUUCAAGAGGAAUUCACUGACCUCCAAAUAAACACCAUUUUAGGAUGAGAAGCUUCUGAGAUUUGGGAAUCUACAGACAAUUUGGAAGCUUGUCAGGAUUAUUCUGCAAAGUCAACCAAAAGAGGAGGGCUGGAGUUCACAGAUUAUUAGCACCGAAUGUUGGAUUCAGAGGUUAUUAGCCACGUAUGGCAAAUGGAGUUCCUUUUCUGUGAGGAAACUGUUCCAAGGAGAUUGUGAUUGUCUAGUUUCAUAUUGAUGAUGUAUCAAAGUCAGGAUUGGAUCCUCUGUUCUCUGGUCUAAGAGCUUUUGUUCAUUCCACCAUUUUAGUGAUGAUAAGAUACAUGGAUGAAUAAUUCC